UAUUGCACAAUGGGGGAAACCCGUGAUGCAGCGACGCCGCGUGAAGGAAGAAGUAUCUCGGUAUGUAAACUUCUAUCAGCAGGGAAGAUAGUGACGGUACCUGACUAAGAAGCCCCGGCUAACUACGUGCC
rnacentral:rRNA from 1 species